rnacentral:rRNA from 1 species
CCUACGGGAGGUUGCAGUGGGGGAUAUUGCACAAUGGGGGAAACCCUGAUGCAGCGACGCCGCGUGUGGGAAGACGGUCUUCUGGAUUGUAAACCACUGUCCCCAGGGACGAAAAUGACGGUACCUGGGGAGGAAGCUCCGGCUAAAUACGUGCCAGCAGCCGCGGUAAUACGUAGGGAGCAAGGUUUGUCCGGAAUUACUGGGUGUAAAGGGAGCGUAGGGGGGGAUGAAAGUUGGGGGGCAAAACUAUCGGCUAAACCGAUAGUUGCACUCAAAACUGGAGCUCUUGAGUGAAGUAGAGGCAGGCGGAAUUCCUAGUGUAGCGGUGAAAUGCGUAGAUAUUAGGAGGAACACCAGUGGCGAAGGCAGCUUACCAAGCUACUUCUGACGUUGAGGCACGAAAGCGUGGGGAGCAAACAGGAUUAGAUACCCUUGUAGUC